AAAUGGUAAAGAAUUAAAAAAUGAAAAAUAUACAAUAACUCCUAAGCAUGGGAAGGACCUUGGACAAUGGGCUUAGGGACUCAUUAGGACCCUUUCAAGAGACUCUGGACAAACUUUUGACUCGAACUUGAAAGGAGCAUUCAAGACAAAAAGACUUGUAAUAUUUUACUCGCUUUCUAGUUUAGGACACUACGCACACACAAGGCUUUCUCUUGGACUACCUGACAAUGAGAC
rnacentral:lncRNA from 1 species